rnacentral:rRNA from 1 species
UACGGAGGGUGCAAGCGUUAUCCGGAUUCACUGGGUUUAAAGGGUGCGUAGGUGGGUCUGUAAGUCCGUGGUGAAAUCUCCGAGCUUAACUUGGAAACUGCCAUGGAUACUAUAGAUCUUGAAUACUGUGGAGGUUAGCGGAAUAUGUCAUGUAGCGGUGAAAUGCUUAGAUAUGACAUAGAACACCAAUUGCGAAGGCAGCUGGCUACACAAUUAUUGACACUGAUGCACGAAAGCGUGGGGAGCAAACAGG